rnacentral:lncRNA from 1 species
ACGAGCAGCAGCAGCAGCAGCAGCAGUAGCAAAACUAUUGUCAUCAUCACCGUCAGCAGCACCUACUCCGAUCACCACCACCACCACCACCACCUCCAUCCAUUACUUUUCUUUGUUUAAGGGCAUUUCGGAUACAUGUGGAGUACAGUUGGUAUGGCUGGAUCUCGCUGAGCGACCGAGUGUGGCAGGUAGACAUCAUCAUACAUAUAUAAACGUAUAAAAGCAUAGACACACGCACACACAUACAGAGGCAGGCACACACACUGAUCAUAUAUAUACCUACAUAUAUAUAUAUAUAUAUAUAUAUAUAUAUAUAUAUAUAUAUAUAUAUGUAUAAUAUGUAUAUAUAUGAAAUGUGAUCAUAAUGUUUAGUUCCUCUAUCUGUGAGAUUUAGUAUCUGUAGUUGCUUGUAAUAAUGAAAAUUGCUUUCUUUGUCUCUCCUACAAAUUCGAACAUAAAUAAUGGGAAAGUCCUCUGAAUAAUGAUAUCCAAAUUCUGUCCUCUCUUAUUAAUUGGGCUCUUAUUUUCAUCCUGGUCAUUAUUGUUAUUUAUAUUUAUGUAUUUUGAACCAGAACGUCUUUGACUUCUAAUAUAAUACCACUUAUAAUUGCCAUUUGCUGUCUAUGUGUGUCUGUUAAUUAUGUAUUUAAUUGACUCUGUUUUAAAAACUAAUCAAACUCUUGUAUUUAUUGUUAUCAAAUUGUUCCUGCUUUUACCGUUUUUUAAGUAUUUUAAUAAUUUACUGCAUUAAAGAAUAUUAAUUUAGAGAUCUCGGCUUGGUUGUGUGUGUGCGUUUGUCUACAAUGAAGGUUCCACUUCUACGCCCAAAAGGACCUUCGAUUCACUGCUUUCCUUUAUUUUUUUUAAAGAUAUUUUUUUUUAUAAUGAAAGUAGUUCUGUUGUCUGAACGGAUUUUGGUUGUUUUCUGUGUAUUUUCUCCUUUUUAUGUUCACGAUGUGAAUGAUUAAGUGUUAUGUUUAUUUAUUAAACAGACUGAUUCUUUAGCCAGAGGUGGGGGGAAUAUUCCAUGCAUCUGAAAUAGAAAUGAGAAUAAUUUCAAGAGCUUUGUCUGUGUGUCCCUACACAGUUGUCACCUGAUGUAGAAUUUCAAGUGUUUUUUCCCCCUUUUGGUGGAUACAUACUUCCUGGCUGGCUCUAUUGCAGAAUCAUUCGGGCAAAAUAACGAAAGUAAUGUAUAUUUCAAAGAAUUAGGCUUCGUUUUCUAUAGUGAAAGUAAUGCGAUUCGGUGAAGUUUCUAGUAUUCAAGCCCUUCACGGUCUCGAAAUAAUAAUAAUAAUAUAAGUUUCUAAUUAAAAUCUGUUUUGUGUCAGUAGAAUGACAUCUUGACCCUUUUUUUAAAAAAUAGGAAAGCAACAGCAUUCCGAUUAUUUUAAAAAUAUAAAUUUUACUCAUUUCUAAUGUAGCUUACAUUUGAAUUGUUUAGACAUGUUUUGUCUGCAAUUCUGAUUGGAGUUUCACCAUUAAAAUUCG